GUGAAUCAUCAAAUUUUUGAACGCAAAUUGCACUCUCUUCGGAGAGUAUGCCUGUUUUAGGUUUAGUAUUAAUAAAAAUCGGUGUGUUUCUUCUUUGUGACGGCCCGGAGUUUGGGUCAUCUUAAUAUCUUGUAGGUUUUCAUUGACUUAAAAUUGACUUUUUUUGCGCAUUUUAGAUGUAGAUAAAUUCUUUUUUUUAUUCGUCUGUCUUAGUGCCUAAAUCUUAUGAGAUGCGAUCACAUCGUGUGGUUUCGUGUCUAUAAACUUUUCAUGUUUUGUCCUCAAAUCAGGUAGUA
rnacentral:misc_RNA from 1 species